GUUCUAAAACUGGGCUCUACGUUACAGCUGAAGUGGAUCCUAACCACUGUGGGCUGCCUCUUCUCAGCUUUAUAGACACUGUAACCACUCUGUUUUUGUCCCAUACUUCUCAUUCUCAAGGCGCUUCACCUUUGCAGAGAAAACAGAACCAAGUAGUUCUAUUUCUUCUCCACUCUCCAAAUAACUAUUAUGUAUCUUGUUGUAGAAGCAACAUUUGCCAUGUGAGCCAGUAAUUGUGACAGCUGAGGAGAUGUAGCCUGAAGUGGUGGCUGAGAUGAUUUCAUCGGUACCUCCCACCAAUACACUUCACAUCACCCAGCUCCAGGCAGAGGGUGGCACAAAGUUCACCCUACUUUUGAUGAGAGCUGCAGUCAUCAGGGCCAUGGUGCUAGCCAGACCCUAUCCCACAAAAAAGGAAAGGAGCUCGGUGUUGUUCAGGGAAGGAAAAAUGGAUGCUGAGCCGGCCCCAUCCGUCUCACCUGGGAGAAGAGACAGUCACAGAAACAGAGCCACAAGGAUACAGAAAGGGUCUGGGUUGCUGUGAAGAGUCCCAGUAUAAAUGCAUUGCACUAGAUCAUAACACCAUGCAAACCAGGAAUUCUUGGGAGCUCGGUACCAGACCGUGUCAUUGGGAAUGGGUGUGUUCUGUAUCACAAUUAAUGGGCUGGGGAUCUGACGAAUCUGACGAUGAUGUGAUUAAACAAGUGCU